CGCACUUGUGCAAGCCUGUACGUCUGGGCAAAGUCUCCAAUAUUAGCGUCAAUUGCAAGCCUCAUAAGCCUAAGGUCACUAGUUCGAUCCUAGUCAGUGCUACCA
rnacentral:tRNA from 1 species